rnacentral:rRNA from 1 species
UACGUAGGAGGCAAGCGUUAUCCGGAAUGACUGGGCGUAAAGGGUGCGUAGGUGGUUUGACAAGUUGGUAGCGUAACUCCGAGGCUUAACCUCGGCACUACUACCAAAACUGGUAAGCUGGAGUGCAGGAGAGGUGAGUGGAAUUCCUAGUGUAGCGGUGGAAUGCGUAGAUAUUAGGAGGAACACCAGAGGCGAAGGCGACUCACUGGACUGUAACUGACGCUGAGGCUCGAAAGCGUGGGGAGCAAACAGG